UACGUAGGGGGCAAGCGUUGUCCGGAAUCAUUGGGCGUAAAGAGCGUGUAGGCGGCCAGAUAAGUCCGCUGUGAAAUCUCGAGGCUCAACUUCGAGCUGUCGGUGGAAACUGUCUGGCUAGAGUCCGGAAGAGGAGAAUGGAAUUCCUGGUGUAGCGGUGAAAUGCGCAGAUAUCAGGAAGAACACCCGUGGCGAAGGCGGUCUCUGGGACGGUACUGACGCUGAGACGCGAAAGCGUGGGGGAGCGAACAGG
rnacentral:rRNA from 1 species